rnacentral:rRNA from 1 species
UACGUAGGGACCAAGCGUUGUUCGGAUUUACUGGGCGUAAAGGGCGCGUAGGCGGCAUGAUAAGUCACUUGUGAAAUCUCCGGGCUUAACUCGGAGCGGCCAAGUGAUACUGUUAAGCUAGAGUGCAGAAAGGGCAAUCGGAAUUCUCGGUGUAGCGGUGAAAUGCGUAGAUAUCGAGAGGAACACCUGAGGCGAAGGCGGGUUGCUAGGCUGACACUGACGCUGAGUGCGCGAAAGCUAGGGUAGCAAACGGG